rnacentral:rRNA from 1 species
AUUGAACGCUGGCGGCAGGCCUAACACAUGCAAGUCGAACGGCAGCGGGGGGUAGCUUGCUACCCCGCCGGCGAGUGGCGGACGGGUGAGUAAUGCCUGGGGAGCUGCCCAAUCGAGGGGGAUACCAGUUGGAAACGACUGCUAAUUCCGCAUACGCCCUGAGGGGGAAAGGUGGGGAUCUUCGGACCUACCGCGAUUGGAUGCACCCAGGUGGGAUUAGCUAGUUGGUGAGGUAACGGCUCACAAAGGCGACGAUCGCUAGCUGGUCUGAGGGGAUGACCAGCCACACUGGAAAUGAGACACGGUCCAGACUCCUACGGGAGGCAGCAGUGGGGAAUAUUGCACACUGGGGGAAACCCUGAUGCAGCCAUGCCGCGUGUGUGAAGAAGGCCUUAGGGUCGUAAAGCACUUUCAGUGGGGAGGAAAGGGUGGAAGCUAAUACCUUUCAUCUGUGACGUUACCCACAGAAGAAGCACCGGCUAACUCCGUGCCAGCCGCCGCAGUAAAAC